UCCCCCUUGGCUCAGCGGUAGAGUGCUUCACUAGUAUCCGUUCGCCAUGCGAAGAUAUGAAGAGGUCAGUCGUUCAAGUCGGCUAGGGGGAA